CACAUGCAGUCGAACGAUGAUGCCCAGCUUGCUGGGUGGAUUAGUGGCGAACGGGUGAGUAACACGUGAGUAACCUGCCCCUGACUCUGGGAUAAGCGUUGGAAACGACGUCUAAUACUGGAUAUGAUCACUGGCCGCAUGGUCUGGUGGUGGAAAGAUUUUUUGGUUGGGGAUGGACUCGCGGCCUAUCAGCUUGUUGGUGAGGUAAUGGCUCACCAAGGCGACGACGGGUAGCCGGCCUGAGAGGGUGACCGGCCACACUGGGACUGAGACACGGCCCAGACUCCUACGGGAGGCAGCAGUGGGGAAUAUUGCACAAUGGGCGAAAGCCUGAUGCAGCAACGCCGCGUGAGGGAUGACGGCCUUCGGGUUGUAAACCUCUUUUAGUAGGGAAGAAGCGAAAGUGACGGUACCUGCAGAAAAAGCACCGGCUAACUACGUGCCAGCAGCCGCGGUAAUACGUAGGGUGCAAGCGUUGUCCGGAAUUAUUGGGCGUAAAGAGCUCGUAGGCGGUUUGUCGCGUCUGCUGUGAAAUCCCGAGGCUCAACCUCGGGCUUGCAGUGGGUACGGGCAGACUAGAGUGCGGUAGGGGAGAUUGGAAUUCCUGGUGUAGCGGUGGAAUGCGCAGAUAUCAGGAGGAACACCGAUGGCGAAGGCAGAUCUCUGGGCCGUAACUGACGCUGAGGAGCGAAAGCAUGGGGA
rnacentral:rRNA from 1 species